rnacentral:sRNA from 1 species
GUUUGCACUUGUCGGGGAAGGGUGAGAACCUUCGAUUAAGGUUCGACUCGAGCGAAAGCGAGAGAACGUUGCCAACGGCAACGGCCCGAAGGGCGAAGCGCGCAGCGCUGAGUAAUCCUUCCCCCACCACCA